GACGAACGCUGGCGGCGUGCUUAACACAUGCAAGUCGAACGGAAAGGCCCUGCUUUUGUGGGGUGCUCGAGUGGCGAACGGGUGAGUAACACGUGAGUAACCUGCCCUUGACUUUGGGAUAACUUCAGGAAACUGGGGCUAAUACCGGAUAGGAGCUCCUGCUGCAUGGUGGGGGUUGGAAAGUUUCGGCGGUUGGGGAUGGACUCGCGGCUUAUCAGCUUGUUGGUGGGGUAGUGGCUUACCAAGGCUUUGACGGGUAGCCGGCCUGAGAGGGUGACCGGCCACAAUGGGACUGAGAUACGGCGCAGACUCCUACGGGAGGCAGCAGUGGGGAAUAUUGCACAAUGGGCGGAAGCCUGAUGCAGCAACGCCGCGUGCGGGAUGACGGCCUUCGGGUUGUAAACCGAUUUCGCCGGUGACGAAGCGUGAGUGACGGUAAUGGGUAAAGAAGCACCGGCUAACUACGUG
rnacentral:rRNA from 1 species